UAUAGCAUAUAGUAAGCAGAGGAACCCCAUCAAACUUUUGAUUUUUGUAGUAGUUGCGAAUGAACACAAACUUGAUCACUUUGGCAAUCUGUGCACAUCAUUGUGCAACAAUUUGUAUAUGUAGGCACAGUGCUAUCAAAGCUGCAUGCAAGUGAUUUUUGAAAGGAUACAACAUGGGAUGUGAUAUUCAUGUGUGUGUGCCUGCUUUGUCCACAGCCUGUGCUGUAUGAAUCACAUUUCUUGCAACUGAAAUGCUAAUAGCAUGGUAAAGUUCAUGUGACAUGAUACAAGCUUGAGAUUCAUGAUGUGCAAGUACCAUGAGGGAAAUGUGAAAAGGACUUUGAAAAGAGAAUUAAAGAAAGCCUGCAUUUGCUGACAAUAAAAGCAAGUGUAGAUGUUCAUGUAAUUGUUACUGCAUCAAUCAAUGUUCAUCAUGGUUACUGCAUGCUUUAUAUUACAGCUCAGAACACGAAGUGUGUGUAACAGCUUUGCUUUGAUUUUUCCCACAUGGGAUCAGUUGAAACUUUGUGAGAGCACUCUUCAGUUCCCGCACGUACCCACCAGCUUUGUCCACUCGUGUGUUGGCACACAUGUAAUGAUGAUGUGUUUAUGCAAGAUACUUCUGUGCGCACCAACAUGUUGUGCAAAUCUUCACUUGACCCGUCUUGAAACACGGACCAAGGAGUCUGGCAAGUGUGCAAACCAACUUUCUGUAGAGAUUUGUAUGUAAUGAACAUGUUUGUAUCAUUAUUGCACCACCAAUCAAUAUUCAGCUUGUUGCUUAUUUGAAUGUGAGCAUUGUUGCUAGGACCCGAAAGAUGGUGAACUAUGCUUGCAKAACAUGAGUUCAGAGGAAACUCUGAUGGAAGUUUGUAUCGGUACUGACGUGCAAAUCGUUCGUCACCCACCAAAAUAUAGGGGCGAAAGACUAAUCGAACCAUCUAUACGUGUCCCCCCACG
rnacentral:rRNA from 1 species